rnacentral:rRNA from 1 species
GUGGUAUCCUGUCUGAAUAUGGGGGGACCAUCCUCCAAGGCUAAAUACUCCUGACUGACCGAUAGUGAACCAGUACCGUGAGGGAAAGGCGAAAAGAACCCCGGCGAGGGGAGUGAAAAAGAACCUGAAACCGUGUACGUACAAGCAGUGGGAGCCUCUUUAUGGGGUGACUGCGUACCUUUUGUAUAAUGGGUCAGCGACUUAUAUUCUGUAGCAAGGUUAACCGAAUAGGGGAGCCGAAGGGAAACCGAGUCUUAACUGGGCGUUAAGUUGCAGGGUAUAGACCCGAAACCCGGUGAUCUAGCCAUGGGCAGGUUGAAGGUUGGGUAACACUAACUGGAGGACCGAACCGACUAAUGUUGAAAAAUUAGCGGAUGACUUGUGGCUGGGGGUGAAAGGCCAAUCAAACCGGGAGAUAGCUGGUUCUCCCCGAAAGCUAUUUAGGUAGCGCCUCGUGAAUUCAUCUCCGGGGGUAGAGCACUGUUUCGGCAAGGGGGUCAUCCCGACUUACCAACCCGAUGCAAACUGCGAAUACCGGAGAAUGUUAUCACGGGAGACACACGGCGGGUGCUAACGUCCGUCGUGAAGAGGGAAACAACCCAGACCGCCAGCUAAGGUCCCAAAGUCAUGGUUAAGUGGGAAACGAUGUGGGAAGGCCCAGACAGCCAGGAUGUUGGCUUAGAAGCAGCCAUCAUUUAAAGAAAGCGUAAUAGCUCACUGGUCGAGUCGGCCUGCGCGGAAGAUGUAACGGGGCUAAACCAUGCACCGAAGCUGCGGCAGCGACGCUUAUGCGUUGUUGGGUAGGGGAGCGUUCUGUAAGCCUGUGAAGGUGUGCUGUGAGGCAUGCUGGAGGUAUCAGAAGUGCGAAUGCUGACAUAAGUAACGAUAAAGCGGGUGAAAAGCCCGCUCGCCGGAAGACCAAGGGUUCCUGUCCAACGUUAAUCGGGGCAGGGUGAGUCGACCCCUAAGGCGAGGCCGAAAGGCGUAGUCGAUGGGAAACAGGUUAAUAUUCCUGUACUUGGUGUUACUGCGAAGGGGGGACGGAGAAGGCUAUGUUGGCCGGGCGACGGUUGUCCCGGUUUAAGCGUGUAGGCUGGUUUUCCAGGCAAAUCCGGAAAAUCAAGGCUGAGGCGUGAUGACGAGGCACUACGGUGCUGAAGCAACAAAUGCCCUGCUUCCAGGAAAAGCCUCUAAGCAUCAGGUAACAUCAAAUCGUACCCCAAACCGACACAGGUGGUCAGGUAGAGAAUACCAAGGCGCUUGAGAGAACUCGGGUGAAGGAACUAGGCAAAAUGGUGCCGUAACUUCGGGAGAAGGCACGCUGAUAUGUAGGUGAAGUCCCUCGCGGAUGGAGCUGAAAUCAGUCGAAGAUACCAGCUGGCUGCAACUGUUUAUUAAAAACACAGCACUGUGCAAACACGAAAGUGGACGUAUACGGUGUGACGCCUGCCCGGUGCCGGAAGGUUAAUUGAUGGGGUUAGCGGUAACGCGAAGCUCUUGAUCGAAGCCCCGGUAAACGGCGGCCGUAACUAUAACGGUCCUAAGGUAGCGAAAUUCCUUGUCGGGUAAGUUCCGACCUGCACGAAUGGCGUAAUGAUGGCCAGGCUGUCUCCACCCGAGACUCAGUGAAAUUGAACUCGCUGUGAAGAUGCAGUGUACCCGCGGCAAGACGGAAAGACCCCGUGAACCUUUACUAUAGCUUGACACUGAACAUUGAGCCUUGAUGUGUAGGAUAGGUGGGAGGCUUUGAAGUGUGGACGCCAGUCUGCAUGGAGCCGACCUUGAAAUACCACCCUUUAAUGUUUGAUGUUCUAACGUUGACCCGUAAUCCGGGUUGCGGACAGUGUCUGGUGGGUAGUUUGACUGGGGCGGUCUCCUCCUAAAGAGUAACGGAGGAGCACGAAGGUUGGCUAAUCCUGGUCGGACAUCAGGAGGUUAGUGCAAUGGCAUAAGCCAGCUUGACUGCGAGCGUGACGGCGCGAGCAGGUGCGAAAGCAGGUCAUAGUGAUCCGGUGGUUCUGAAUGGAAGGGCCAUCGCUCAACGGAUAAAAGGUACUCCGGGGAUAACAGGCUGAUACCGCCCAAGAGUUCAUAUCGACGGCGGUGUUUGGCACCUCGAUGUCGGCUCAUCACAUCCUGGGGCUGAAGUAGGUCCCAAGGGUAUGGCUGUUCGCCAUUUAAAGUGGUACGCGAGCUGGGUUUAGAACGUCGUGAGACAGUUCGGUCCCUAUCUGCCGUGGGCGCUGGAGAACUGAGGGGGGCUGCUCCUAGUACGAGAGGACCGGAGUGGACGCAUCACUGGUGUUCGGGUUGUCAUGCCAAUGGCACUGCCCGGUAGCUAAAUGCGGAAGAGAUAAGUGCUGAAAGCAUCUAAGCACGAAACUUGCCCCGAGAUGAGUUCUCCCUGACUCCUUGAGAGUCCUGAAGGAACGUUGAAGACGACGACGUUGAUAGGCCGGGUGUGUAAGCGCAGCGAUGCGUUGAGCUAACCGGUACUAAUGAACCGUGAGGCUUAACCUU